AAGCUCGUAGUUGAAUUUCGGGGUUAGUAGGUUGGUCAUGCCUCUGGUAUGUACUGGUCUCACUGAUUCCUCCUUCCUUAUGAACCGUAAUGCCAUUAAUUUGGUGUUGCGGGGAAUCUGGACUGUUACUUUGAAAAAAUUAGAGUGUUUAAAAGCAAGCUAACGCUUGAAUACAUUAGCAUGGAAUAAUGAAAUAGGACGUUCGAUCUUAUUUUGUUGGUUUCUAGGAUUGACGUAAUGAUUAAUAGGGAUAGUUGGG
rnacentral:rRNA from 1 species